AUAUGAUCGGAUUCGCUGGG
rnacentral:siRNA from 1 species